rnacentral:rRNA from 1 species
AGUGAACGCUGGCGGUAGGCCUAACACAUGCAAGUCGAACGGCAGCACAGUAAGAGCUUGCUCUUACGGGUGGCGAGUGGCGGACGGGUGAGGAAUACAUCGGAAUCUACUUUUUCGUGGGGGAUAACGUAGGGAAACUUACGCUAAUACCGCAUACGACCUACGGGUGAAAGCAGGGGAUCUUCGGACCUUGCGCGAUUGAAUGAGCCGAUGUCGGAUUAGCUAGUUGGCGGGGUAAAGGCCCACCAAGGCGACGAUCCGUAGCUGGUCUGAGAGAAUGAUCGGCCACACUGGAACUGAGACACGGUCCAGACUCCUAAGGGAGGCAGCAGUGGGGAAUAUUGGACAAUGGGCGCGAGCCUGAUCCAGCCAUACCGCGUGGGUGAAGAAGGCCUUCGGGUUGUAAAGCCCUUUUGUUGGGAAAGAAAAGCAGCAGGUUAAUACCCCGCUGUUCUGACGGUACCCAAAGAAUAAGCACCGGCUAACUUCGUG